GCUUACGGCCAUACCAGCCCAAGAACGCCCGGUCUCGUCUGAUCUCGGAAGCUAAGAAGGCUUGGGCCUGUUUAGUACUUGGAUGGGAGAUUUCCUGGGAAUACCUGGUGCUGUAAGCU
ensembl:rRNA 5S_rRNA 5S ribosomal RNA